rnacentral:rRNA from 1 species
CGAGUUUGAUCCUGGCUCAGAAUGAACGCUGGCGGCACGUCUUAAGCAUGCAAGUCGAACGGAGAUGACUGGGUUUACUCAGUCAUUUUAGUGGCGAACGGGUGAGUACAACAUAAACAACCUACCUUUAAGUCUGGAAUACUCCUGUGAAAACAGGGACAAUACCGGAUGGCAUUAUUUUACCAUGAGGGUUUAAUAAUUAAAGGGUUGCAUUUUUGCAACUCGCUUUUAGAUGGGUUUAUGCUCUAUUAGUUAGUUGGUGAGGUAAAGGCUUACCAAGACGAUGAUAGAUAGCCGGCCUGAGAGGGUGUACGGCCACAUUGGGACUGAGAUACGGCCCUAAUUUCUAUGGAAAGCAGCAGCUAAGAAUAAUUUGCAAUGAGCGAAAGCUUGACAGUGCGAUGCCGCGUGGAUGAUGAAGGCUCUUUGAGUUGUAAAAUCCUUUAUCUCGAUGAAGAAAAAAAUGACGUUAAUCGAGGAAUAAGCCCUGACUAAUUACGUGCCAGCAGUCGCGGUAAUACGUAAGGGGCAAGCGUUAUUCGGAAUUACUGGGCGUAAAGGGUCCGCAGGCGGACAAGUGUGUUGRAUGUGAAAUCUUUGGGCUUAACCCAAAGGCUGCGUUCAAAACUGCUUGUCUAGAGUUUUGAAGAGGAGAACGGAAUUUCUGAAGUAAGGUUGGAAUCUACAGAUAUCAGAAGGAACACCGAAGGCGAAGGCAGUUCUCUGGUCAAAAACUGACGCUGAGGGACGAAAGCUAGGGGAGCAAACGGGAUUAGAUACCCCGGUAGUCCUAGCUGUAAACGAUGUACACUCAAUAUACGAGGUGUAAACUCCUUGUGUGUUCAAGUUAACGCAUUAAGUGUACCGCCUGGGGAGUACAUUCGCAAGAAUGAAACUCAAAGGAAUUGACGGGGGCUCGCACAAGCGGUGGAGCAUGUGGUUUAAUUCGAUGAUACGCGAGAAACCUUACCAGGGUUUGACAUCUAUAGGACCGAGUCUCGAAAGAGAUUUUCCUUUCUUCGGAAAGGUCUUUAGACAGGUGUUGCAUGGUUGUCGUCAGUUCGUGUUGUGAGAUGUUGGGUUAAGUUCCGCAACGAGCGCAACCCUUACCUUUUGUUGCUAACAGAUAAUGCUGAGGACUCUAAAGGAACUGCCAGUGAUAAACUGGAGGAAGGUGGGGAUGACGUCAAAUCAUUAUGGCCCUUAUAUCCUGGGCUACACACGUGCUACAAUGGAUGAUACAAAGGGAUGCGAAAUGGCAACAUUAAGCAAAUCUCAAAAAGUCAUUCUAAGUCCGGAUUAGAGUCUGAAACUCGACUCUAUGAAGCCGGAAUCGCUAGUAAUCGCAAAUCAGCAUGUUGCGGUGAAUCUGUUCUUGGGCCUUGUACACACCGCCCGUCACACCACCCGAGAUGAGUUUUGCCGAAGUCAUCUAUUCAACCUCUUCGGAGGAGRAAGGUGCCGAAGURAAGCUUGGCGAGGGGGGUGAAGUCGUAACAWAAGGUAA